AUACAGGUUUGGUCCUAGCCUUAUUAUUAGUUGUCAGUAAGCCUACACAUGCAAGUAACCGCAUACCAGUGAGAAUGCCCUCUAGAUAUUCUUAAUUAUAAUCAUUAUCAACAGGAGCGGGUAUCAAGCACACUAACAUAGCAGCUCAUAACACCUUGCUAAACCACUCCCCCACGGGUUACAGCAGUGACAAAACUUAAGCAAUAAACGAAAGUUUGACUAAGUUAUACUGAUAAAAUAAGGGUUGGUAAAUUUCGUGCCAGCCACCGCGGUCAUACGAUUAACCCAAACUAAUAAUUUACGGCGUAAAGUGUGUUUAAGAUAAACUAUAAAUAAAGUUAAAUUUUAUCUAAGCUGUAAAAAGCUCCAGCUAAAAUAAAAAUAACCCACGAAAGUGACUUUAAUACAUCUGAAGCCACGACAGCCAAGAUCCAAACUGGGAUUAGAUACCCCACUAUGCUUGGCCCUAAACUUAAGUAAUUCAAUAAUAAACAAUAUUACUCGCCAGAGAACUACAAGCAAUAGCUUAAAACUCAAAGGACUUGGCGGUGCUUUACAUCCACCUAGAGGAGCCUGUUCUAUAAUCGAUAAACCCCGUUAAACCUCACCACCUCUUGCUAAUACAACCUAUAUACCGCCAUCCUCAGCAAACCCUACUAAGGCUGUAAAGUAAGCACAAACAUAUGACAUAAAAACGUUAGGUCAAGGUGUAGUCCAUGAGGUGGAAAGAAAUGGGCUACAUUUUCUUACAACAGAACAAUAAUCACAGUAAUCUUUAUGAAACGAAAGACCAAAGGAGGAUUUAGUAGUAAGUUAAGAAUAGAGUGCUUAGCUGAAUAAGGCCAUGAAGCGCGCACACACCGCCCGUCACCCUCCUCAAAUACAACCCAUCUAUUUCCUAAUAACAACUUUUAAUUUAUAAGAGGAGACAAGUCGUAACAAGGUAAGCGUACUGGAAAGUGUGCUUGGAAUAUU
ensembl:Mt_rRNA